rnacentral:rRNA from 1 species
GUUUGAUCCUGGCUCAGGACGAACGCUGGCGGCGUGCUUAACACAUGCAAGUCGAACGAUGAAGCACCAGCUUGCUGGUGUGGAUUAGUGGCGAACGGGUGAGUAACACGUGAGUAACCUGCCCCCUACUCUGGGAUAAGCCUGGGAAACUGGGUCUAAUACUGGAUAUGACCAAUCACUGCAUGGUGUGUUGGUGGAAAGAUUUUUUGGUGGGGGAUGGACUCGCGGCCUAUCAGCUUGUUGGUGGGGUAAUGGCCUACCAAGGCGACGACGGGUAGCCGGCCUGAGAGGGCGACCGGCCACACUGGGACUGAGACACGGCCCAGACUCCUACGGGAGGCAGCAGUGGGGAAUAUUGCACAAUGGGCGAAAGCCUGAUGCAGCAACGCCGCGUGAGGGAUGACGGCCUUCGGGUUGUAAACCUCUUUCACCAGGGACGAAGCUAACGUGACGGUACCUGGAGAAGAAGCACCGGCUAACUACGUGCCAGCAGCCGCGGUAAUACGUAGGGUGCGAGCGUUGUCCGGAAUUAUUGGGCGUAAAGAGCUUGUAGGCGGUUUGUCGCGUCUGCUGUGAAAGACCGGGGCUUAACUCCGGUUCUGCAGUGGGUACGGGCAGACUAGAGUAUGGUAGGGGAGACUGGAAUUCCUGGUGUAGCGGUGAAAUGCGCAGAUAUCAGGAGGAACACCGAUGGCGAAGGCAGGUCUCUGGGCCAUUACUGACGCUGAGAAGCGAAAGCAUGGGGAGCGAACAGGAUUAGAUACCCUGGUAGUCCAUGCCGUAAACGUUGGGCGCUAGGUGUGGGGCUCAUUCCACGAGUUCCGUGCCGCAGCUAACGCAUUAAGCGCCCCGCCUGGGGAGUACGGCCGCAAGGCUAAAACUCAAAGGAAUUGACGGGG